AGCUGGCUGGUUCCAUGAGGUGACUUCUGCCCAGUGCUCUGAUUGUCAAGGCGAAGAGAUUCAGCCAAGCGCGGGUAAACGGCGGGAGUAACUAUGACUCUCUUAAGGUAGCCAAAUGCCUCGUCAACCAAUUAUUGACGCGCAUGAAUGGAUCAACGAGAUUCCUGCUGUCCCUAGGUGCUGUCCGGUGAACCAACAGCCAAGGGAACGGGCUUGGGCGUGUCAGCGGGGAAAGAAGACCCUGUUGAGUUUGACUCUAGUUUGAUGCUGUGCAGCGACAUGUGGGGUGUAGCAUAGGUGGGAGGCGAGUGCCAGCGGACACUCGGUAAACACCAACCCGCUCGGAGUGACCCAGCUCUCUUGGUUUAUCCAUCCAUCCUUUUUGUGCCAGAACAACGUGCGAAACGGACAGAUCUUGGUUGCAGCAGAGAAGAGGCAGUCGUCGGCAAGUAGUAGCGAGUGCUCGUCGUGGGGCGUGUGGCCUGGGGAACCACACGCCCAAGCAGCGUGUGGCCUGGGGAACCACACGCCCCCGAAGAGAAGAGAAGCCAGAGGUUGUGUUGUUGCUUGAUUGAUCUGAUCGAUCGAACAGCUGUAUGUAUUACCUGGGGAAAACGGAGCAUGUGCUUCCGUCGGUGCGAACCAGCAAUGAAAUACCACUACCUUCACCGUCGCUUUACUCAUCGAGUGGCUUGGGGCCAGCGGCCCAUUUGGACAUCAGCUUCCGCAUGACCUGUGGGGGUUGUGGCUAUAUCCUGCUUCGUGAGACAAACGCAUGGGGUUCAACCCCCGUGCGCGACCCUGUGGGGGAAUUCCUAGACCCCACCCUGUGAUUCGGCGCCUCGGGACAAUGAUCAGUUGGGGAGUUUGGCUGGGGCGGCACGCCUGUUACAGGACAACGCAGGCGUCCUGAAGCAUUGCUCAGAUGGAACAGAAAUCUUGCAUGGAGGAGAAGGCCAAAGGUGCUGCUGAUGCUGCGACUUCCAGUACAAGUCCAAAACGUGCAAGUGUGGCCUUGCGAUCCUUUGGUCAAGCAUUGUGGUUCCGGAUAUUGAAGCCAGAGGUGUCAGAAAAAUUACCACAGGGAUAACUGGCUUGUGGCUGCCAAGCGUUCAAAGCGACGUCGCUUUUUGAUCCUUCGAUGUCGGCUCUUCCUAGCUUCCCACCCGCAGCCGAGUGGAAGAGUUGGAUUGUC
rnacentral:rRNA from 1 species